GACGAACGCUGGCGGCAUGCUUAACACAUGCAAGUCGAACGGAAAGGCCCUGCUUUUGUGGGGUGCUCGAGUGGCGAACGGGUGAGUAACACGUGAGUAACCUGCCCUUGACUUUGGGAUAACUUCAGGAAACUGGGGCUAAUACCGGAUAGGAGCUCCUGCUGCAUGGUGGGGGUUGGAAAGUUUCGGCGGUUGGGGAUGGACUCGCGGCUUAUCAGCUUGUUGGUGGGGUAGUGGCUUACCAAGGCUUUGACGGGUAGCCGGCCUGAGAGGGUGACCGGCCACAUUGGGACUGAGAUACGGCCCAGACUCCUACGGGAGGCAGCAGGGGGGAAUAUUGCACAAUGGGCGGAAGCCUGAUGCAGCAACGCCGCGUGCGGGAUGACGGCCUUCGGGUUGUAAACCGCUUUCGCCUGUGACGAAGCGUGAGUGACGGUAAUGGGUAAAGAAGCACCGGCUAACUACGUG
rnacentral:rRNA from 1 species